AAGUCGUAACAAGGUUUCCGUAGGUGAACCUGCGGAAGGAUCAUUACAUUUAGUAGCUUGCUACUGCUAAGAGGGUCUGUUAGGCUGUAUAGUAUUGCUACUGACGAGCAGCAUGAUCCUCUAAGUCAACCCUUGUCUUUUGCGUACCUACGUUUCCUCAGCGGGUAUAACCCGCUGGCUGGACAAAAUUACAACCCUUGAAUAUUCAAUCAGUGUCUGAGAAACUUAAUAAUUACAACUUUCAACAACGGAUCUCUUGGUUCUG
rnacentral:misc_RNA from 1 species